CGCGCAGGCGGUCUUUUAAGUCAGAUGUGAAAGCCCGGGGCUUAACCCCGGAAGUGCAUCUGAAACUGGGGGACUUGAGUAUGGGAGAGGGAAGUGGAAUUCCUGGUGUAGCGGUGAAAUGCGUAGAUAUCAGGAGGAACAUCUGUGGCGAAGGCGACUUCCUGGACCAAUACUGACGCUGAGGCGCGAAGGCGUGGGGAGCAAACA
rnacentral:rRNA from 1 species